rnacentral:rRNA from 2 species
CGAACGAACUCUGGUAUUGAUUGGUGCUUGCAUCAUGAUUUACAUUUGAGUGAGUGGCGAACUGGUGAGUAACACGUGGGAAACCUGCCCRGAAGCGGGGGAUAACACCUGGAAACAGAUGCUAAUACCGCAUAACAACUUGGACCGCAUGUCSRRGYUUGAAAGAUGGCUUCGGCUAUCACUUYUGGAUGGUCCCGCGGCGUAUUAGCUAGAUGGUGAGGUAACGGCUCACCAUGGCAAUGAUACGUAGCCGACCUGAGAGGGUAAUCGGCCACAUUGGGACUGAGACACGGCCCAAACUCCUACGGGAGGCAGCAGUAGGGAAUCUUCCACAAUGGACGAAAGUCUGAUGGAGCAACSCGCGUGAGUGAAGAAGGGUUUCGGCUCGUAAAACUCUGUUGUUAAAGAAGAACAUAUCUGAGAGUAACUGUUCAGGUAUUGACGGUAUUUAACCAGAAAGCCACGGCUAACUACGUGCCAGCMGCCGCGGUAAU